rnacentral:snoRNA from 1 species
UGAUGAAAUAUUUGCUCAUGA